rnacentral:ncRNA from 1 species
UGGUCUAGUCAGAUGGAAUGCUGCGCGAUUCAGAGUAAAAGCCUCGUAUGACCAACCGCAAGCUUACGAUGGACCGGGGAGAGUCGGAUACUUUGAGAGUAGUGUCUUAAGGGGGUGGUAUGUCCCAUCCAAGGCUAAAUAACGUGAGGAGACCGAUAGAUUACAAGUAGUGUGAACGAAAGAUGAAAAGAACUCUAAAACAGAGGGUGAAAAGUUCCUGAACUUGCUUAGGGUUAAGGCUAUUUAUAGUACCCGUCUUGAAACACGGAUUAGGGAGUUUAUCUGUAGUGCGAGUCUUUGCACGUUAACUGUAAAGGCGUAGAGAAAGCAACUGGCGUUUGCAUGGCUACUGAGCAUUACUGAUAGGACCCGAAAGGUGGUGAACUUUGCCUGCACAGGUUGAAGUCAGGGGAAACUCUGAUGGAGGACCGUACGGGUUAUUGAUGUGCAAAUCAUUUUUCUGAUGUAGGUAAAGGUGCGAAAGACUCAUCGAACCACCUAAUAGCUGGUUUCCUCCGAAGUUUCCCUCAGGAUAGCUGUAAUGCAUUUAGUUAAGGGGAGUAGAGAUAUGGGUAGAGGUGCAGGGAGCCUUCGGGUUCUCAACUUAUUUCCAAACUUCGAACCUCCUUGUUAGGCAUUUACCUAACUGGAAAUGCUUAAAUGAAUUAGCGUUACAAGUGGGCUCUGACCGGUAAGCGGUCAUGGCGAAAUGGGAUGAACCAUACGUCUGAAUAAGGUGCCGAAAUGUACUAUCACUGAUACCAUAAAGGGAGUCCAUGUAUUUAGACAGCAGGUCGGUGCCCCUAAAAGCAGGUAUCCGCUAAAGAGUGUGUUAAAACUCACCUGCCGAAUACUAGGGCCCCGAAAAUGAAUGGCGCAUAUAGUACUACCGAUCUCAGACAUCAGUUCUAUUGAACUGAGAGUAGGGGGAUGUGGACAUUUUUGUGAAGGUGCAAUGUGAGUUGGACUGGAAGAAUGUCUAUUACAGAUCCUAAUUGAAGUAGCGAUUAUCCAGGCUUGUAUCCUGGGGGCUGAUGAGGAGUAGGGUUUCUGGACAACUUAAACAGAUCCAGAGUUAGUCG